GAUCCUGGCUCGGGAUGAACGCUAGCUACAGGCUUAACACAUGCAAGUCGAGGGGCAGCAUGGUCUUAGCUUGCUAAGGCCGAUGGCGACCGGCGCACGGGUGAGUAACACGUAUCCAACCUGCCGUCUACUCUUGGACAGCCUUCUGAAAGGAAGAUUAAUACAAGAUGGUAUCAUGAGUUCACAUGUUCACAUGAUUAAAGGUAUUCCGGUAGACGAUGGGGAUGCGUU
rnacentral:rRNA from 1 species